CUUGCACACACAGAAACACACAAUGCAUUCCUUACACACACUCAAUGCACCCCUUACAGACUCACACACUUCAUCCCUUACAUACACAGAAACACACCUUGCAGCCCUUACACAUACAAGAUUCACAAAAUGCAUUCCUUACACACAAAUCAGGACAUUCCCUACACACUCCAUCCCCUGUGAACAAACUCAUUGGUGGAAAAUGAAGGUGGACCCUGGGACCCAG